rnacentral:lncRNA from 1 species
GGUAUGUAAUGUUCUUAUCAUCUUUAUUUUCUAUCUUUGUUAAUGGUAGCUUGUGAAUUUUUGGGCAUUUUUUUUUCUAACUUUGUUAAAGGUAAGAGUAGAGGCUUGAAGAUUCUACAUCGUGCUUCUAUUGCCUUGUCCCAUCAUUCGAGGAUGAAUGAUACUAAGUGGGGGAGAUGAAACACCACAAACUUUGGCUCUUGCAAAAUCCUUGAGUCUUGGACUUUCUGAUCUUUAUAUGACUCACACCACAAGUCGUAUGGUGUUGUCAUGUGUCUAGCGACCCUAUUCAUAUGUUGGUCAUUGUGUUGUUGGCCAAGUUCUAUUCUUGGUAUGAUCAACUCCAUACGAGUCAUAUAUUGAUGUACUGAGAGGGUUGAGUCCAAUGGUUUGUUGUCCAUAGUCUAGUCCUUGGUGAUCUGCCUUGUGUACGCC